AGCGAACGCUGGCGGCAGGCCUAAAACAUGCAAGUCGAACGCCGUAGCAAUACGGAGUGGCAGACGGGUGAGUAACACGUGGGAACGUGCCUUUUGGUUCGGAACAACCCAGGGAAACUUGGGCUAAUACCGGAUAAGCCCUUCGGGGGAAAGAUUUAUCGCCAGAAGAUCGGCCCGCGUCUGAUUAGCUAGUUGGUGGGGUAAUGGCCCACCAAGGCUACGAUCAGUAGCUGGUCUGAGAGGAUGAUCAGCCACACUGGGACUGAGACACGGCCCAGACUCCUACGGGAGGCAGCAGUUAGGAAUCUUGGACAAUGGGCGCAAGCCUGAUCCAGCCAUGCCGCGUGAGUGAUGAAGGCCUUAGGGUUGUAAAGCUCUUUCAGCGGGGAAGAUAAUGACGGUACCCGCAGAAGAAGCCCCGGCUAACUUCGUGCCAGCCGCCGCGUAACAC
rnacentral:rRNA from 1 species